rnacentral:tRNA from 1 species
AAAACAGAGGUAUUAGUACAUUUGGUUUCGACCCAAAAGAAGGUUAACCCCCUGUUUUA